UCUCAGGCUCUCCAUCUCUCAGGCAAUUUAGAGGAGGUAUAGUGACUGUUUCUUCUGUCCCAUAGGCAUUCCAACAGAAUGGAUCAUCUACCAAUUCUCCUUCUUCAGGGAGAAGCUCAACUUCUGACAGGGUUAUUUUGGUGCAAGGNUCACUGCAGGCAAAGUGAAUUGGUGGGGUUCGCACAUCAUAAGUGCCCUUAAUGUUCCUGUAUGAUAUAUCUGUCACAUACACUGCUGAGGUCUGAUUUCGACAUCCCUUUGACAUGCAGUAGUAUUGGUCUAUGAUCAUGCAGUUUCUAACAUUCUCCAUUUGGAUGUCCUGGAAGGAUAUGCCUGAAACAGAUCCCGUCCCACCUUGCCAUGUCUUGAUC
rnacentral:misc_RNA from 1 species